UCUUUUCUGAAGAUAAAUCUCAAUGUUCAAUGCAAUAAUUGGAAAUUAAAGAAAUGGACUGUGAAAUGACAGGAGCUGAAAUAUUAAAGCUGUUCGUGAAAAUUAACCGGUUUGACCAGAUAAUUGUUUAGGGUCAAGUGCACUGAGUAUAUUAAAGAUAUAAGCAAGAAAAGCAAGUGCAUAUUCUUUAUUGUAUCCAUCAUUUGAAUGAAGGUAUAGCUAAAUUUAAUCAUGCUUGACACCUUAUUUUUUUUAAAUACUAUCUUUUAAAUAAUAUCAGGUAACGACAACGAAAACAACAAUAAGGCCUAAAAAAAACUUGUUCGCCGUCAUCCGCCGCCCCUAAAUUUCUAAAAAUGAGGGGCGGGGAUUUGUUUUUUUCGUAAGGGUUUUUUUUUAAGUUAAAAAGACCAUUUUUUUCGACAGGGAUUUUGAUUUUACACGACCGCUGGUUUUAUAGCACGCCCGUUUCGACCGUUUCACGCUUGGUUAAUUCUAAACUUUUCUUACCUCGUGGUUCGUACCAAACUCUUUGUUGGUACUGUAAUACUACUAUGACUAGGCCUACGCAAGGUGUCAAAAUGUCGGUUGUUGCUCUUUGUAACUUGUUUAAGGAGAAAGUUAAAGUAUGGUUAGUGUUUCUCGUUUUAAAACGACGAUGACUUCCUUAGAUGCUUUCAAUUCUUUAAAAAUGGACGCUGGAGUUCUUGGAGAUGUUUUCAUAGCCGCUGAUUUAAACGGACCAUGGCAUGAAAUCGAGCAUGUUGAAGUUGUUGUCAUGCAAUCGCUAUCGAUGUCGCAUGUACAAUUCUAUUAUAUUAAUGUCUGUAUUGGAAGCACAAGUCAACCAACAGCAAAAUGCAUUUUCUAUGCUAUUUGAAGGUAGUGGGCGUAGAGCGCUACCAUCCAAGAAAUGUGGUGAUGAUGUACAUUGAGUUAAAGAAAGGAAUACCAAACAGAAACAUUACAGUUAUUCUACAAAUUGUAAUAAUUGUUGUUUAAAUGGAUCCAGUACAGGCAUGUUUUUUGCACAGAGGGCCAGGACCUUCAUUCGCUGCAUGGAGUGCAACAAGCCACGUGUUGUUUAUUGCAUGAAGCCGAAGAAGAUAUCUAUACAACAGUUAAUGGACCUUGAGGUGGCUGUUAAGGAGUACGACUAUACAAGAAGGUCUUUGUAUGCAGAGGUGUUAAUUGCGCAAACCACAUAGAGUUUGCAUUCUACUCAGGACAAGUCGGCAACCAAUUAACCUGCUGUUAUUGUGGCGAAGAAAACGGAUCAAGGUCGUAGGAACUUGUCAUAAAAUACAAAGUCGUCCAGCCCAUUUGUGAUGGGGAAGGAAAGCCCGACGUCGCACUAGCGUCAUAAGUGAUGAGUGCUGCAAGAUGAAAUAUGAUGGAUUCACCCUAUCACAGAGUUGUUUGUUUAAAUGUCAACAUACAUUCACUGUUCCAUACUAGUAUAUUUGUUCACAAUAAAAGUGCUUAAAAAAAUUGAAGGAAGUUUGUGCAUUUUUUGUUUGCAUGUGCAUUUAUUAAUUAAUUCAUUAGAAUUCUAACUUACACAUAAAAUUAAAUAAAAACAUACUUAACGCAAAUCAUACACAAGUGCUGAGAUACCAACAGGAUCAAUGUCAAUACAUUUAAUAAGUAAAUGAAGCUGGUUAGCUUGACCUUAUACAUAGUGCAGUAGUAUAUUAUAUUCAUGUGUCUCACGGCAAUUACAGAUCCGUCUUCAAUCCCAAGCCACAAAAAAUAAGCCCCAAAUUGCAAGGAGACCUAUAGUGUACAUAUUUUCAAUUUCUACAUUUAAAAAAAAAACAAAAAAAAAACAAACCUUUUUUAUCCCACCCCUCAUCUUUUACAAACCUCUAUACAGACCAUUUUGUUAAUCUUCCUUUUAAAGAAAACAAAAAAAAAAACUUUUUUCCACCCGCCCUUCACUUAAAUAUUUACAAUGUGACAGCAAACAAACAAUUUUAAGGCCUAAUAAUAACAAUAAUAACAAUAGCACUCAGAGCAUAUCUUUAUUAACCGCCAAUUUCUUUCUAAAAAAAUGCUCAAAAAUAUGGCCUAGCAUUGUUUCCAGGCUAAUGUUUAUGGCGCCUACUGUAUUUCUUUGCAGACCUAUCACAAAAUCAAACAUAAAAAUUCAUUCGUGUUUAUUUUUAUUUAAAAAGUUCAGCCUUAUUUCACAUUUGUUUACAUGUUUAGGAAUGUCUAAAUCCAAUUAAACUAGCAAUUCUGUAUUAUAUUUAGAUAUCUUUAUAACAUUAUAAAAAUCAGAUUUUUCUAAGAGAUCAAACAUUUCCUGGAAGGGGGCUUUAAAUACCUUCAGUCAAAAGGUCAAAUGUCUUGACAGAGUAACAUGCAUGAUGCUGCGACUGUGUGCCUUUACUAUCAGUCGUCUCCUUGCCGAUAGUUUUAAUUAUAGCCUGUUGAGUGGUGAACUAGCGUGUAAACAGGCGAACAUCGUAUCAAUUUAUUAAAAAAAGACAAGCAACAAUUGAAAAAUUGCAGGCCUGUCGCCUUGACGUCACUGUUUUGCAAUACAUGUUUGAUAGUCUUGUUGAGGACGAUCUAAUUUACCAUCUUAACGAAUAUGACCUUAUAUGUAUAGCUGGCAAAUUGUUUUUACAAAAAUGAAAUCUUGCAAUACACUACUUGCAGAGGCAAUUACGUCGUGGACUCUUAAUCUUGAUUGACGGAUAGACGUGGUUUCCUUUGACUAAUCUCAUGCUUUUGAUUUGAUAUCGUAUACAAUCCUUAGGGGAAAGAUGAAACAAAUGGACGGAGUUCAUUUAUUUUUAUUUUUUUCAUUUUAAAAGACAUUUAUUUACUUCCAUAGAACACACAAAAUAUACAAUGCAAUAUGAUAUAAGAUAAAGACGAAAACAAGCUAUGGAAGAAGGCAUAAUCCAAAGAAGAUAAAGGUCUUGUGCUGGACAUGCCAUAAAGUAAAUAAAAGUUGGAACAAUCGUAAAAACGAAAUCAAAGGAAAAAACAAAUAAAUAAUAAAUAAAAAAAGAAAAAAUAAAUACUGUAAGUAAAUACAUAACGACUGUAGUUCAUUUAAAUACAGAACAAAUCGAAAUAUGACUGAGGAUAAAAUAGUUUAAUAGUUUGAAAUUAGGUGUAGUUUGAUUUUCUUUAAGAAAUGUUCUAAGAGAAUAUCAUUAAAAAUUGGCGGUGGGAGAUUGUUCAUCAUUGAAUGCCCUGAAUUUCUAAUGUUAUGUUGAAAAUAAUUAUUGUUGAGGGAAGAUAUGUGAAUAUGAGUUCUAGAUCGGGUGAGGUAAUUGUGAAUAGAGUAAUUGGGAAUAAACAUAUUGCAUAAAUAAUAAAAAGAAAUUAUAGGUAAUAUUCUAGGUUGAUUAGGAUCAUUUAUGGGAAGGAGUUAGCUUUAAAAAUAGACUACAAUGCGUUGUUUAUCAAGGGAAAUGCUCUUCUUGGACUAUGCUUUCAUGAGGAAUUCCACAAGGAUCAAGCCUGAGCAUAUUUUGUUAAACAUUUACGUGAGUGACUUAUAUCGUAAUUCAACAACAAACAAUUACAGUAUGCUGACGAUACUUUUAUCUCUAGGUGCACUUAUUCGGUGAAUGAUAUAUAUAUUUUACAAGACAAAAUCGUUUACAAAGAUAGUCGGAAUUAAACUUCAGUAAAUAUCAAGUUUUGUCAAUUGCUUUUCGGCGUAAUCCAAACAUAUUGGAAUAUUCAUUAAAUGAUCAAUGUCUCAAAAACGUAAAACAUGUAAAUAUUCUUGAUGCUAUGAUUUAGUUUUAUUUAUCUUGGAAUAAGGAAGUAGAAAAUGUGGCUUCCAAAUCGUUCAAAAUGCUAUGGUUCAUACGUUCUGUAGCUAAGAGCUGUUCAAACUCAAUCCUCUUGAAAUUAUAUUCUUCUUUUAUUUUUUAUAUAAAAAUAAAUAUAUUAUGAACUUUUUAAAAAUAACUUGAUGGCACUUGCUCAACUGUUAAGAUUUCUGUCCACCUAUUGUUAAAUUUGGAAUAUUUAGUAGGUCUAUGUUAAGUUUAUUUAUUUUUAAUACUGUAUUAUUUUUAUACUAAUGCAAUUACAAUAAUUUUUUUUAACACAUCUAAUUGUAAAAUAAAAUUUUGA